GGGUUAGUAGGUUGGUCAUGCCUCUGGUAUGUACUGGUCUCACUGAUUCCUCCUUCCUGAUGAACCGUAAUGCCAUUAAUUUGGUGUUGCGGGGAAUUUGGACUGUUACUUUGAAAAAAUUAGAGUGUUUAAAGCAAGCUAACGCUUGAAUACAUUAGCAUGGAAUAAUGAAAUAGGACAUCGCAUUCUAUUUUGUUGGUUUCUAGGAUCGACGUAAUGAUUAAUAGGGAUAGUUGGG
rnacentral:rRNA from 1 species